GACGAACGCUGGCGGCGUGCCUAAUACAUGCAAGUCGAGCGAGCGGAACCAACAGAUUUACUUCGGUAAUGACGUUGGGAAAGCGAGCGGCGGAUGGGUGAGUAACACGUGGGGAACCUGCCCCUAAGUCUGGGAUACCAUUUGGAAACAGGUGCUAAUACCGGAUAAUAAAGCAGAUCGCAUGAUCAGCCUUUGAAAGGCGGCGUAAGCUGUCGCUAAGGGAUGGCCCCGCGGUGCAUUAGCUAGUUGGUAAGGUAACGGCUUACCAAGGCGACGAUGCAUAGCCGAGUUGAGAGACUGAUCGGCCACAUUGGGACUGAGACACGGCCCAA
rnacentral:rRNA from 1 species